AAAUUACGAGCUACAGGUCUCCUUCUCCACACCACAAGCAAUCCAUGAGAUGGGUUUUGUACAAUUUGAAGAAAACCAUGUUUUGAGCUUUUUGGCUCCCUCGCACUCACACCACUCUUCUCAUAUUUCUCAACCUCUCACUACCACAACCACCAAUACCCACAUGGGAUUUAGUAGUCACAACGACCAGGUGGGAACAUUGGAUCCAAAGGCUACUAUUGAAGAGAACUACACUGUUAGUGCUAACGAUGGCAACAAUUCUUGGUAUUCUUCUUCUCCUUUCUCUCUCUCUCUCUUUUUGUGGGGCUUCUCUCUCUCCCAGCUCCUCUUUCUCUCUCAAAACAUGCACGGACACAGCAAUAUCCGAGAAAAUAUUCUUCAGGUAUAAGUUCAACAGAGUUUAAGGAGAUCUACCCACAUGUGGAAGAGUGGCUUCUGCUCAUACCCCGUGAAUCCUUUCUCUUUCUGUUGCUGUGAGAGGAAGAAAGUGCUUCACUCAUAAAAGUCUUGAUAUACAUUGAUACUCAGAUCCACCAGUCCAUCAACAGAUCUAUCUUUUUUAUGUAUCCAAUCUCUGUUCACUUUUCAAUUUUCCCUUAUCUCCAAAGCCUGAGGAUUUGAAAUUUUUGAUAGGUGGAGGAGCUCAUCAUCUUCAGAAAAAAGCAAGGUUAAAGUUAGGAGAAAACUUAGAGAACCAAGAUUCUGUUUUCAAACUAGAAGUGAUGUGGAUGUGCUUGAUGAUGGUUACAAGUGGAGAAAAUAUGGCCAGAAAGUAGUCAAGAACAGUCUUCAUCCAAGAAGUUACUAUCGGUGUACCCACAAUAACUGUCGAGUGAAAAAGAGAGUGGAACGAUUAUCUGAGGAUUGUCGAAUGGUGAUAACAACCUAUGAAG
rnacentral:misc_RNA from 1 species